AUCGUCCUACGGGGGGCAGCAGUGGGGAAUAUUGCACAAUGGGGGAAACCCUGAUGCAGCGACGCCGCGUGAAGGAAGAAGUAUCUCGGUAUGUAAACUUCUAUCAGCAGGGAAGAAAACAGACGGUACCUGACUAAGAAGCCCCGGCUAACUACGUGCCAGCAGCCGCGGUAAUACGUAGGGGGCAAGCGUUAUCCGGAAUUACUGGGUGUAAAGGGAGCGUAGACGGCUGUGCAAGUCUGGAGUGAAAGGCGGGGGCCCAACCCCCGG
rnacentral:rRNA from 1 species